UAUGGAGGAUGCGAGCGUUAUCCGGAUUUACUGGGUGUAAAGGGAGCGUAGGCGGCCUGGCAAGCCUGAUGUGAAAUACCGGGGCCCAACCCCGGGGCUGCAUUGGGAACUGCCAGGCUGGAGUGCCGGAGAGGCAGGCGAAAUUCCUAGUGUAGCGGUGAAAUGCGUAGAUAUUAGGAGGAACACCAGUGGCGAAGGCGGCCUGCUGGACGGUGACUGACGCUGAGGCUCGAAAGCGUGGGGAGCAAACAGG
rnacentral:rRNA from 1 species